rnacentral:rRNA from 1 species
AUUGAACGCUGGCGGCAGGCCUAAUACAUGCAAGUCGAACGAGUGGCGGACGGGUGAGUAAUGUCUGGGAAACUGCCUGAUGGAGGGGGAUAACUAAUGGAAACGGUAGCUAAUACCGCAUACCAUCAGAUGUGCCCAGAGGGGAUUAGCUUGUUGGUGGGGUAACGGGUCACCAAGGAGACGAUCCCUAGCUGGCCUGAGAGGAUGACCAGCCACACUGGAACUGAGACACGGUCCAGACGCCUACGGGAGGCAGCAGUGGGGAAUAGUGCACAAUGGGCGAAAGCCUGAGGCAGCCAUGCCGCGGGUAUGAAGAAGGCCUUCGGGUUGUAAAGUACUGUCAGCGGGGAGGCGUUACCCACCGAAGAAGCACCGGCUAACUACGUGCCAGCAGCCGCGGUAAUAC